rnacentral:rRNA from 1 species
AACCCCCAAUUUUUUAAGGGUGA